AGGAAUAUUGGUCAAUGGGCGUAAUCCUGAACCAGCCAAGUAGCGUGAGGGAAGACUGCCCUAUGGGUUGUAAACCUCUUUUGUGCGGGGAUAAAGUGAGGGACGUGUCCCAUAUUGCAGGUACCGCACGAAUAAGGACCGGCUAAUUCCGUGCCAGCAGCCGCGGUAAUACGGAAGGUCCGGGCGUUAUCCGGAUUUAUUGGGUUUAAAGGGAGCGCAGGCCGUCCUUUAAGCGUGCUGUGAAAUGCCGCGGCUCAACCGUGGCACUGCAGCGCGAACUGGAGGACUUGAGUACGCACGAGGUAGGCGGAAUUCGUGGUGUAGCGGUGAAAUGCUUAGAUAUCACGAAGAACUCCGAUUGCGAAGGCAGCUUACCGGAGCGCAACUGACGCUGAGGCUCGAAAGCGCGGGUAUCGAACAGGAUUAGAUACCCUGGUAGUCCGCGCGGUAAACGAUGGAUGCCCGCCGUUGGGAUUUUGAUUUCAGCGGCCAAGCGAAAGCGUUAAGCAUCCCACCUGGGGAGUACGCCGGCAACGGUGAAACUCAAAGGAAUUGACGGGGGCCCGCACAAGCGGAGGAACAUGUGGUUUAAUUCGAUGAUACGCGAGGAACCUUACCCGGGCUUGAAUUGCAGGAGAACGAUCCAGAGAUGGUGAGGCCCUUCGGGGCUCCUGUGAAGGUGCUGCAUGGUUGUCGUCAGCUCGUGCCGUGAGGUGUCGGCUCAAGUGCCAUAACGAGCGCAACCCCUGUCCAUAGUUGCCAUCAGGUCGUGCUGGGCACUCUGUGGAGACUGCCGCCGUAAGGUGUGAGGAAGGUGGGGAUGACGUCAAAUCAGCACGGCCCUUACGUCCGGGGCUACACACGUGUUACAAUGGGGCAUACAGCGAGUUGGAUGUGCGCAAGUACGUCCGGAUCAAUAAAGUGCCUCUCAGUUCGGACUGGGGUCUGCAACCCGACCCCACGAAGCUGGAUUCGCUAGUAAUCGCGCAUCAGCCAUGGCGCGGUGAAUACGUUCCCG
rnacentral:rRNA from 1 species